GACGAACGCUGGCGGCGUGCUUAACACAUGCAAGUCGAACGGUAAGGCCCUUCGGGGUACACGAGUGGCGAACGGGUGAGUAACACGUGGGUGAUCUGCCCUGCACUUCGGGAUAAGCCUGGGAAACUGGGUCUAAUACCGGAUAGGACCCUGGGAUGCAUGUCCUGGGGUGGAAAGCUUUUGCGGUGUGGGAUGGGCCCGCGGCCUAUCAGCUUGUUGGUGGGGUGAUGGCCUGCCAAGGCGACGACGGGUAGCCGGCCUGAGAGGGUGACCGGACACACGGGGACUGAGGUACGGCCCAGACUCCGACGGGAGGCAGCAGUGGGGAAUAUUGCACAAUGGGCGCAAGCCUGAUGCAGCGACGCCGCGUGAGGGAUGACGGCCUUCGGGUUGUAAACCUCUUUCAGCACCGACGAAGCGCAAGUGACGGUAGGUGCAGAAGAAGGACCGGCCAACUACGUGCCAGCCGCCGCCGUAA
rnacentral:rRNA from 1 species